rnacentral:rRNA from 1 species
CCUACGGGGGGCAGCAGUGGGGAAUAUUGGACAAUGGGGGGAACCCUGAUCCAGCCAUGCCGCGUGUGUGAAGAAGGCCCUCGGGUUGUAAAGCACUUUCAGUGAGGAAGAACGCCUGGUGGUUAAUACCCAUCAGGAAAGACAUCACUCACAGAAGAAGCACCGGCUAACUCCGUGCCAGCAGCCGCGGUAAUACGGAGGGUGCGAGCGUUAAUCGGAAUUACUGGGCGUAAAGCGCGCGUAGGUGGCUUGAUAAGCCGGUUGUGAAAGCCCCGGGCUCAACCUGGGAACGGCAUCCGGAACUGUCAAGCUAGAGUGCAGGAGAGGAAGGUAGAAUUCCCGGUGUAGCGGUGAAAUGCGUAGAGAUCGGGAGGAAUACCAGUGGCGAAGGCGGCCUUCUGGUCUGACACUGACACUGAGGUGCGAAAGCGUGGGUAGCAAACAGGAUUAGAUACCCUGGUAGUC